CUCCAAUGGACAUAUGAGCUAUCAGCCAAGGAGCUUCCUGCCUCUACUGUAAAUGAAGCCUGAAAUAUCCAAGCUACAUUAUCGCUAACAUGCCUAUGGUGGGACAUCUGUGGUUUUCUCCAUCUGGUUUCUAACGCCUACUGAUACAGAAAGGCUAAAUUCCACCCUCAAGCCUGGACCCUCAGCCUUAAGUGAAAACAGCUGACCCUGAUACAGAACGGCUGGGCUCCUGUCUAAAUCCACCUUCAA
rnacentral:lncRNA from 1 species